UCAGGACGAACGCUGGCGGCGUGCCUAAUACAUGCAAGUCGAACGCGUCUCCGUUAAUGAUUUUAGGUGCUUGCACUUGAAAGAUUUAACAUUGAGACGAGUGGCGAACUGGUGAGUAACACGUGGGUAACCUGCCCUUGAAGUAGGGGAUAACACUUGGAAACAGGUGCUAAUACCGUAUAACAACCAAAACCACCUGGUUUUGGUUUAAAAGACGGCUUCGGCUGUCACUUUAGGAUGGACCCGCGGCGUAUUAGCUUGUUGGUAAGGUAACGGCUUACCAAGGCGAUGAUACGUAGCCGACCUGAGAGGGUAAUCGGCCACAUUGGGACUGAGACACGGCCCAAACUCCUACGGGAGGCAGCAGUAGGGAAUCUUCCACAAUGGACGAAAGUCUGAUGGAGCAACGCCGCGUGAGUGAUGAAGGGUUUCGGCUCGUAAAACUCUGUUGUUGGAGAAGAACAGGUGUCAGAGUAACUGUUGACAUCUUGACGGUAUCCAACCAGAAAGCCACGGCUAACUACGUGCCAGCAGCCGCGGUAAUACGUAGGUGGCAAGCGUUGUCCGGAUUUAUUGGGCGUAAAGCGAGCGCAGGCGGUUUUUUAGGUCUGAUGUGAAAGCCUUCGGCUUAACCGGAGAAGUGCAUCGGAAACCGGGAGACUUGAGUGCAGAAGAGGACAGUGGAACUCCAUGUGUAGCGGUGAAAUGCGUAGAUAUAUGGAAGAACACCAGUGGCGAAGGCGGCUGUCUGGUCUGUAACUGACGCUGAGGCUCGAAAGCAUGGGUAGCGAACAGGAUUAGAUAC
rnacentral:rRNA from 1 species